UACAGAGGGUGCAAGCGUUGUUCGGAAUUAUUGGGCGUAAAGGGCGUGUAGGCGGUUUGCUAAGUCAUGUGUGAAAUCCCUCGGCUUAACCGAGGAACGACGCAUGAUACUGGCAAGCUAGAGUGCGGUAGAGGGUAGUGGAAUUCCCGGUGUAGCGGUGAAAUGCGUAGAGAUCGGGAGGAACACCAGUGGCGAAGGCGGCUACCUGGACCAGCACUGACACUGAGGCACGAAAGCGUGGGGAGCAAACAGG
rnacentral:rRNA from 1 species